CAGCCCCGACCCUCGAGUCGCUGGCGAGGGCGCCCGAGCUUCGGGGCGCACUCGGCUUCUGGGGCAGGAGCUCCUGCCUUCGCGUAUUUUCGGGCGAACGACGGCGGCGUCGUGCCUCUUUAGGUCCAGUUCUGAUGCGUGGGCAUUGCCGGGGCCGGGCGAGGACCCCUGAGGCCGGGGGGGGCGACCCAGGAGGCGCCCGCUGGGUGCUCGAAGGAGCGAGGCGUGCAGCUCGGUGCCCAGCAGAACACGAGAGCUGGUCCCUCCCCGCCUGGCUUGGUCCCACGUGGAGAGCCAGCUCUUUCCGGGAUGGAGGCAGGAGGGGAGCCUGGCAGGUUCGCUGUGUCCUUGUCCCAGGAAGAACAAGCCUCCCUUGUUAGAGUCCCCGUGGGACAAAGGGGUAGGCGGCCAUGGAGACGCUUGCCCCAAAUGGAAACGAAGAAGCUCAUCAAAUAAAGUGUGGUAUCUGCACACAAUGGAAUGUCCUACCCAGCACUGUGGGUCUAGGACCACACCCAACAGCAGGACGACUCACACAAGGUUGGGGAAAGAGACCUCAAGAAUGCAGUGCACAGUUCGAAAGGAGAGGCCAACAGCCCUGCUUUAGAAGUCAGAAUGGUGGUUACGGGUGGAGGGAAGGAGACAGCUGGUAUGUGGGGCUUCUGGGGGCUGGGAGCUGUUGGGGGGGUCUCAGUGCUGCUACAUGGCCAUAAUGGGUGUAACUGCUCUGCGGGGGUUCUGCCCACCGUGAAGAGAAAUGCUGAUUCCUCCUCCACACUGCAUCCCUACUCCCCACCCCCAUCUUGGCAAC